rnacentral:rRNA from 1 species
GUCCUGGCCGUAAACGAUGGGCACUAGAUAGGGGGUAUGCCUAUGAUAUUCCCUGUCGUAGCUAAUGUGUUAAGUGCCCCGCCUGGGGAGUACGCUCGCAAGGGUAAAACUCAAAGGAAUUGACGGGGGCUCACACAAGCGGUGGAGCAUGUGGUUUAAUUCGAAGCAACGCGAAGAACCUUACCUAGCCUUGACAUGCACGGAUUAGCCCCUGGAAACAUGGGUGACAGCUCUUCGGAGCAGGAACGUGCACAGGUGUUGCAUGGCUGUCGU